UUAUGAUCAACAUAUACGUAUCUAUCAAUAAGUGAAUCUAAAAAUCGAGUGAAUUAUUAAUCUAAGGAACAGAAUAAACUGGUGAAUAUAAUAGAAUCGGGCAUAGAAAGGGACUGACAACUCAGGGGGAAAGGAGUGGGGGGGGUGUGGGAUGAGACGACAAAUUGUACAUCUGUGGAUGAGUACAGUAUGGGGGGAAGAAAGGGAAGAGGGUGAGAUGGGAACAGGAGGAGGGUAUCUAUGGGGAUCAAAAGGAACAACUGUAAUCUGAACAAUAAAGAUUUAUUUUAAAAAAUUUUUAAAGUCUACCUCUUUACUAAUGUCAAAAAAUUUUGAAAGCUAUUUGAAACAUCUGGAAAUAGUGAAAAAGUGAUUAACAUCUUUUGGAAGAACCUCUUUCCUAAUUUUGCCUUUUCAGUACGCUGAUAACUUGUAUGUUGAAUUUA